AUUAUAUAGAAUUAGAGAUGAUUAUAUUGCAUUCACACAUAAUGCAACUAACUCACGCAAAAGAAUAUGAUAAAAUGAAUAAGUUAGCCUAAGAGGAUUUGGUUAUACUCCACAUAUUCCUACAAAUACAUUAUUCUGUAGGUGCGGCACUAUAGACACAUCAUUUCAUAGCUCUGCUUAUCCUAAGUUUAUGUUCUUCAAAAUUGAACUGAUAGUGGUGUCAAGUGACUGUGCAGGACAAUGUAGUUGAAGGUAUAGUUGCAUCAGUAUCCCUGGUCCAUUUGUCUUUACAACUUUAAUCUUUCCACCCAUUUUGUUAUCCUGCAUAUCAUCCUUUAUCAUUAGAAAUUGCCAAGACAAUCAAAUAUUCUUCAAUUGUAUGCUUAAAGCCUAUUCCAAGGGAAACUUUCUUAGUAAUGAUGAAUCGUGUGUAAUUUUAUCUUGCCAGUUGAUGUUUGCCAUCCUUUGGCUUGUAAGGGGCUUAAGACAUCAUGAAGUCCAACAAAAUCAUUAUAGAACCUGAAUAAUUUUUCAAACUAAAUCCAAAUUGAAAUAUUUUUUCUUGCGAAUUCAAAGUCUCAAAUUUCGGAAACUUAUUAUUUGAAAUGGGAAAAAGUUGAACUCACAAGGGUAUGCACAAUGCAUAGCUUAAGGGCAGUACCACCAUGCCUGAGUAUGAAGUAAUCAAAUAAUGAUAUAUCUUUAGUUAGGUAUUAAAUAGUUUUAAGGUGUGUAGGAAGUAAAUUCAUUCAGUAGGUGCAGCACUACAGACACCUAUAAUUAUAUGACUAAAGAAAUCAGGAAUGCUUGCCUUACCUAGUAUCAGGUCUGUAGCGGUCCGAAUUUUUCAAAACCUGACAACACGAAUCUUUAAUUUCCAAUUCAUUGAAUUGCUAUUAGUUUGCUACCGAAAUUUACUUGAGUUGCCAUUAAGUACUGUAAAUAGACAGAGGUAUACACAAAUAUCCAUACAAACUCCAACAAAAUGCUUAUAGAAACACAUAUGGAGUAAUAGAUCGUGUGAAAUAAUUGACUUUUUCCUAACGAUUCUAUAAAAAAUCAUCAGCAAGAAUCUGUGGUAUAACCCUAAGAUUGAUAAACAACAGUUGUCAUAGGAGUUACGCCGUGAAAAACCUUCACAGAAAAAUCUAUCAAGAAAUACAAUUUGAACUAUAAUAAAGAUUGUAUAUGAAAUACAAAUCAUACCAAUACCUCUUGUAGUCCACAAUUGUUGCUUGAUACGCACAAAAGGGAGAAAGAAUAGAAG
rnacentral:lncRNA from 1 species